GACACAAGUAGACUCCUGGAGACACUGAUCCGGGGAAGGCACCGCUGACUCUGGGGAAGUGGGGAAGGGAGUCCACUCAGGUGACAUAAGUGGACUCCUGGAGACACUGAUCCGGGGAAGGCACCGCCGACCUUAGGUAAGUGGGGAACGGAAGACAUCCGGAGCGAGCGGAUGGAUUCCUGGAUUCAUAAACUUGGGGAAGGUUGUGGUUGAGGCUGACCUUGUGUAAGUGGGGAAGGGGAGACAUCCGGGAGCGAGCGGAUGGAUUCCUGGAUACAUGAACCUGGGGAAGGCAUGAAUACGUGAAGUUGAGGCUGACCUUGUGUAAGUGGGGAAGGGAAGAUAUCCGGCGGUAGACGGAAGGAUUCCUGGAUACAUGAUCCUGGGGAAGGCAUGAAUACAUGCAGUUGAGGCUGACCUUGGGUAAGUGGGGAAGGGAAGAUAUCCGGCGGUAGACGGAAGGAUUCCUGGAUACAUGAACCUGGGGAAGGCAUGAAUACAUGCAGUUGAGGCUGACCUUGGGGAAGUGGGGAAGGGGAGACAUCCGGAGCGAGCGGAUGGAUUCCUGGAUACAUGAACCUGGGGAAGGCAUGAAUACAUGCAGUUGAGGCUGACCUUGUGUAAGUGGGGAAGGGGAGACAUCCGGCGGUAGACGGAUGGAUUCCUGGAUACAUGAUCCUAAGGAAAGCAAGAAUACCGCUGACUCUGAGGAAGUGGGGAAGGGAGUCCACUCAGGUGACACAAG